rnacentral:rRNA from 1 species
AUUGAACGCUGGCGGCAGGCCUAACACAUGCAAGUCGAGCGAGCGGCGGACGGGUGAGUAAUGUAUGGGGACUGCCCGAUAGAGGGGGAUACCUCCUGGAAACGGUGGCUAAUACCGCAUAAUAUCGGAAAACCCAUAUGGGAUUAGUUAGUAGGUGGGGUAAAGGCCUACCUAGGCGGCGAUCUCUAGCUGGUCUGAGAGGAUGAUCAGCCACACUGGGACUGAGACACGGCCCAGAGUCCUUCGGAUGCAGCAGUGGGGAAUAUUUCACAAUUGGCGCAAGCCUGAUACAGCCAUGCCGCUUGUAGGAAGAAGGCCUUAGGGUUGGAAAGUACUUUCAGCGGGGAGGCGUUACCCGCAGAAGAAGCACCGGCUAUCUCCGUGCCAGCAGCCGCGGUAAUUC